AUGCUCCGAUCGAAAACAAAUCAGUGGGGCCAUGCCGGUACGACAGAAUAUGCGUUAGAAAGGUCAAUCCCUCCCCCCCUUUUUGAUUUUUUUAAUGAAAAACCGGGCCGAACUUCUAAAAAGCAGCCCACCCGCUUCCAUAGAACAAUAUCGCGGCAACGUAGACCUAAGUGGAUUUAUUGGAUCCUGGGGAACCAUCACAAGUACGGCCGGCCUAUAGAACGAGAAUGCCGUGUCGUCCAGCGGAGCUUAGAAGAAGGUGACUCGGAGCCUAAGGAAGGUGACUCGCGCAGACAGCUGACUCCUUUUCAAUAG
rnacentral:rRNA from 1 species